rnacentral:miRNA from 1 species
GAGGCCAUCUUCAACCGAUCGG